rnacentral:rRNA from 1 species
GAUGAACGCUGGCGGCGUGCCUAAUACAUGCAAGUCGAGCGAACGGACGAGAAGCUUGCUUCUCUGAUGUUAGCGGCGGACGGGUGUGUAACACGUGGAUAACCUACCUAUAAGACUGGGAUAACUUCGGGAAACCGGAGCUAAUACCGGAUGAUAUUUUGAACCGCAUGGUUCAAAAGUGAAAGACGGUCUUGCUGUCACUUAUAGAUGGAUCCGCGCUGCAUUAGCUAGUUGGUAAGGUAACGGCUUACCAAGGCAACGAUGCAUAGCCGACCUGAGAGGGUGAUCGGCCACACUGGAACUGAGACACGGUACCGACUCCUACGGGAGGCAGCAGUAGGGAAUCUUCCGCGAUGGGCGAAAGCCUGACGGAGCAACGCCGCGUGAGUGAUGAAGGUCUUCGGAUCGUAAAACUCUGUUAUUAGGGAAGAACAUAUGUGUAAGUAACUGUGAACAUCUUGACGGUACCUAAUCAGAAAGCCACGGCUAACUACGUG